CCUACGGGCGGCUGCAGUGGGGAAUAUUGGACAAUGGGGGCAACCCUGAUCCAGCCAUGCCGCGUGUGUGAAGAAGGCCCUCGGGUUGUAAAGCACUUUCAGUGAGGAAGAACGCCUGGUGGUUAAUACCCAUCAGGAAAGACAUCACUCACAGAAGAAGCACCGGCUAACUCCGUGCCAGCAGCCGCGGUAAUACGGAGGGUGCGAGCGUUAAUCGGAAUUACUGGGCGUAAAGCGCGCGUAGGUGGCUUGAUAAGCCGGUUGUGAAAGCCCCGGGCUCAACCUGGGAACGGCAUCCGGAACUGUCAAGCUAGAGUGCAGGAGAGGAAGGUAGAAUUCCCGGUGUAGCGGUGAAAUGCGUAGAGAUCGGGAGGAAUACCAGUGGCGAAGGCGGCCUUCUGGACUGAAACUGACACUGAGGUGCGAAAGCGUGGGUAGCAAACAGGAUUAGAUACCCCGGUGGUC
rnacentral:rRNA from 1 species